CAGUGUCACAGCUCUUUUAGAAUUUGUCUAACCGGUUUUCUGGUCUUUGCCAGAAAACACAC
rnacentral:snRNA from 1 species